rnacentral:rRNA from 1 species
GAUGAACGCUGGCGGCGUGCCUAAUACAUGCAAGUCGAGCGAACAGACGCGGAGCUUGCUCCUCUGACGUUAGCGGCGCACGGGUGAGUAACACGUGUAUAACCUCCCUAUCAGACUGGGAUAACUUCGGGACACCGGCGCUAAUACCGGAUAAUAUAUUGAACCGCAUGGUUCAAUAGUGAAAGACGGUUUUGCUGUAACUUAUAGAUGGAUCCCGGCCGCAUUAGCUAGUUGGUAAGUUAACGGCUUAUCAAGGCAAGUAUGCGUGGACGACGUGAGGGGGUGAUCGGCCGCAUGGGAGCGGGGACACGGACCUGACUCCUACGGGAGGGAGCAGUAGGGAAUGUUCCGCAAAGGGCGAAAGUUUGACGGAGCAACGCCGCGUGAGUGAUGAAGGUCUUCGGAUCGUAAAACUCUGUUAUGAGGGAAGAACAAAUGUGUAAGUAACUAUGCACGUCUUGACGGUACCUAAUCAGAAAGCCACGGCUAACUACGUG